CCGAUAGGUGGUGCUAUCGUACGUCCACUUUAGUGGAGACUUCAACCCACGGAGGGUAAUGGUGCGAGAGUCCACGGAGGGCUCCACCCAUAAGGGGUCCACGAAGAAGCAGCCUUGUCUAUUCCACCAUGGCUUAUGUCCACACAGGACUAGCCUCACUCACGGUAGAUAUUCACGAAGUAGGCGGUCUCCUUGCCCGUACAAACUUCUUGGUUCAACUCCACAACACGAAGUAGGAGGCUCCCAAGCGACACCUAACCAAUCUAGAAGGCACCACUCUC
rnacentral:lncRNA from 1 species